rnacentral:rRNA from 1 species
AGUGAACGCUGGCGGUAGGCCUAACACAUGCAAGUCGAACGGCAGCACAGUAAGAGCUUGCUCUUACGGGUGGCGAGUGGCGGACGGGUGAGGAAUACAUCGGAAUCUACUUUUUCGUGGGGGAUAACGUAGGGAAACUUACGCUAAUACCGCAUACGACCUACGGGUGAAAGCAGGGGAUCUUCGGACCUUGCGCGAUUGAAUGAGCCGAUGUCGGAUUAGCUAGUUGGCGGGGUAAAGGCCCACCAAGGCGACGAUCCGUAGCUGGUCUGAGAGGAUGAUCCGCCACACUGGAACUGAGACACGGCCCAGACCCCUAGGGGAGGCAGCGGUGGGGAAUAUUGGACAAUGGGCGCAAGCCUGAUUCAGCCAUACCGCGUGGGUGAAGAAGGCCUUCGGGUUGUAAAGCCUUUUUGUGGGGAAAAAAAAGCAGCAGGUUAAUACCCCGCUGUUCUGGCGGUACCAAAAGAAUAAGCACCGGCUAACUUCGU